AAAAGCUUUUCACUCGUUGCCGUCGAAGGUUUCAGUGCGAAAAUGAAGUUGAGCUUCAUUUUAAUGGGACUGAUGCUCAUCCCAUGGGGAAAUUCUCUGGUGCACUGGAAGAAACUGGAACCUGGCGCAAACGGCGGCUGCAAGGGCACAAAGGGCGAUUUGAAAGUGGGCCAAACGGAGGACGAUCCUCUUGUUUGCGGGGUCCUUCACUGCUCGGACAAUGCCGGCAAUGCAUUCAUUCACUAGCAAUUGUCAAAUACCAAUUACGGUCGCCCUGUGCCCUGGCAAAGGCGUGACCUCGGAAAUCAUGUUUCCCGACUGCUGUUGGAUAUGCACUACCUUUAAGAACUGCUGAUGGAAGGAUCACAUGAACGCCCAAAGAAUGCCCUAACCCAAGAAUGUGCCUGUUGGGAGGGAAAUGUAUGCACACACACAAUAAAAGAACAGUUAUAAACCA